rnacentral:lncRNA from 1 species
GAAACUUGUAAAGGGGAGGGGCUUUUCUGGAAAGAGGCUUGUUCAAAGGGUGGUGCUGUCAUCAUUUUUUGAAACCAAUGCCUGAUUUUUUCUUUUAUUGUAGAGUCAGCCAUCAACAAAGCACCAGAUUCUGACUGUGGUCUGGGGCAGGCUCGAGGUUCUGCUCCUCAUCGGCUCCAGGUGCUGCCGGUCUGCCGGUCUGGGGACCACACUCAGAGUGGCAGGGCUCCGAGAUGUGACUUGGUAUGUAAUGUUGGCAUUACUCAGACUGUUGAUGUCACAUAGGUGGUGGGAAGAGACAGAAACCAACUCCUCCAGCUCAGGAGUCACAGUCCGGGAAGGGAGCACGUGAUGCCCACACCAGCCUCAGGGCCUCUCACCAGCUGAGGCUCUGGGGGAGGAGGGGGGAGGCCCCCGAGGGAGUUCCACAAGACUGUAGACGGUGAGAAAGAAGUGAUUCCUCAGCAGGAAAUCGGGGCAUCUUAGGAAGGGAGCCUGAACACCAGGUAGUCCAAACCCACAAAUGCUCACUCCAGCCCUCCCAGGACCACAGCAGGCCUUAUGGGGAGCUAGGGCACCGGCCAGGUCUAAGGUGAGGCAAGUGAAGUGCCAG